CAGGUGCUACGCUCCGGUGAGCUUAUAAUCUCGCCGCUGCGGUGGAGCGACAUGGGGGAGUUCACGUGCCACGCGACCAACAUGUUCGGCAGCCAGUACGCCAACACAUUCGUCUAUCCCGCUAAAGCGGGGUAACCCAUGUCUAUAGUAAUCACACAUACAAGCGUGAAGCAUACUUAAACUGGAUGUUCCUGUUAUUAAUUAAGUUAAAGAUAAAAAAACGUUAAGAGCCUUACACACGCACGCGGGAAACGCUGCGUUUCUGUUACCAAACGCACGACCAUAAGAACUUAAAAGUGUUAUAUUUUAUAAUAUUUGAAUACUUGUUCUAAAAAUAUUUAAUAUGAUAAGGAUGUUUACGCAAAGCAGUAUGAAGGUGGCACUUAGACGUGAAAACAAAGAGUGACUUUAAAAAAAAAACAUAAAGGCGGGAAUUGUUUUUUUUUUUUAUUUUCCCGCC
rnacentral:lncRNA from 1 species